rnacentral:lncRNA from 1 species
AAUGGUGGGAUGGGCCGUAGUCCAGCAUAUUCAGCCUAGUGUCAGUGUUAGUGAGAACUAUGAUCGUGUACGCAGCGCGUGCUAUUUGUGAAUUUAGUCGGUCUGUGGUUUUAGAUGUCCUGCUGCUAAAAAGUAAUUCCAGGUUCUGUCGAUCCUGAUGACGCGUUAAAUGGGAUUCCCCAGGGACCGUCCGUAGUUCCUGAGGAACCAGGGGCGUCCUUCUGCCCCCGCGGUGUGACGACGCUGCUUUUUACGCCGUGUGGCAGGAAUCGCCAGUGAAAGAAUGUGGAAUGGAGUAUGCAGAUGAAGAGGAAAUGUAGAAGAACCAUUUCUAAAGCAUAAUUAUAACGGUCGCGUCGGUUCGUGGUUCUGGAGCUGUUCUAAGGCUUUUCACAGCAUUUUAAGGUCACACUUUUUAUUUGCGUUCAUACUUUCUUUGAUUCGAAUCAUAUAUAAUCCUUUGUAUUUCUUGUCGUUUGUAAAAAUCACAAGAAAUAAUAUCUUUAAUUUUUUUCGAGGUGUCUAUUUCUCAAAAUAAUUUAAAACCAAUUUGACUUUUACUCAGUUAUGCUUAAUUUAUUAUUAAAACACAUUUUUUUUGCUCAAAGUUUAAUGAAAUGUGUGCCAGGAAAUCGGAUCUUCAAUUAACCAUUUUCUUUAUUUCAAGUAUUUUUAUAACAAACAUUAUUAUUUUUUAUAUUUUUAUCUAGUCUCGGUAGUGUUGAAUGGG